rnacentral:lncRNA from 1 species
CGACGACAAAGGCAUCUAACAGCCGGCGGGGACGCCUAGCGCCGGCCAACCAUGAGGCCGAACUACCACUCCCAGAAUCCUCCGCGGGGCGCGGCUGACGGCCCUCACUCCCAACACCGCUUCCCAGAGGACCCUGCGGCCACCUGCUCCCGGGGCUGCGUUUCUUGCCGCGGCACGCUCCUGACCGACCUGGAGGAGCGCUGACCAGCUGGCUGAACCCUGCCAGCGACUCUGGAAGGGCCGCUCCUCCCUCGGUGCCGACUCUGGGCGGUGGCCGCGCCAAACCCCGCCCGGCGUGGGACUUUUCGCAUCUCCGCUACUGUGAGGGCGGAAGGCGGCGCCCUUGACCUACGCAGGAUCCUUCCCGGGCUGCGGUGCUCCAUCGGAGGGGAGGCGCCCGGCGGUGUCCUCGCUGCUGCGCCUCCAUGCAUCGGCCCUUCGUGGCCAACACAGAGGUGAUCUCAGUUUACUUUAACCAGGGAUGUUUGUACCAUAUUGCACCUCGGAAUAAAGAAAAAUGGAAUUUCAAUCCCGAAAUCACUUCAACCCCAAAAACGGCCACGUCUCCAAGAAGAACCAGUAAACUAGUCUUGCUGCCCCAAGGAGGCUGGAGCCUGGAGGUCUUGCUGAAAUCCCUAACCUUGUUUUUACUCUAACUCGUUACUUUGAAUUUUAUCCUGCUUGUCUCUUUAAUCACCUAGCCUUGCUUCUCAUGUAAAUAAGACUCUCUCUAGCUGGGAAAGCCGGACAAACUCCAGUUGACCCCUUAAUUUACAAGACACUAAGGGCUCCUUACCCAACCCCCUUCCGCAAGGAGUUGACCUGUGUAAGCAGAUCCUCAGCAUUUCAAAGGAGCCCAAUUAAUUGAUAAGGUAUUAGCACCAACAAUGUAUGAAGUUCCCAGGAUUUUUCUCAAAGAGAAAACAUAAAGCCUUGAGUUCGUGUCCGGCAUACCCCGUAUAUCUAAUUAUAAUGAAAGAUUUAAAGCCUUGCACCUGGUACCGUUGCUCUUCUUGUAACCGUUUGUCUUUUAAAUUGUUUAUCACUUUGUAACCAUUUGUUUUUUGAUUUUGGCAUGUUUUUACUUCUGUAGAAUUAUUGCAUUUGAGUUCCCCUCCCCUUCCUAAACCUAGAUAUAAAAGUUAAUCAACUCCCUUCCUCGGGGCCGAAAGAAUUUUGAGCUUUAGCCGUCUCUUUGGCCGCCGGCUUAAUAAAGGACUCUUAAUUCGUGUC